AUAUCAAUAAGCGGAGGAAAAGAAACUAACAAGGAUUCCCUUAGUAACUGCGAGUGAAGAGGGAAAAGCUCAAAUUUAAAAUCUGGCAGUGUUUCAUUGUCCGAGUUGUAACCUAGAGAAGUGUAACCUGUGCUGGACCGUGUACAAGUCUCCUGGAAUGGAGCAUCACAGAGGGUGAGAAUCCCGUCUUUGACACGGACUACCAGUGCAUUGUGGUUGUGCUCUCAACGAGUCGAGUUGUUUGGGAAUGCAGCUCUAAAUGGGUGGUAAAUUCCAUCUAAAGCUAAAUAUUGGCGAGAGACCGAUAGCGAACAAGUACCGUGAGGGAAAGAUGAAAAGAACUUUGGAAAGAGAGUUAAACAGUAU
rnacentral:rRNA from 1 species